AAAGUUAGAAGCUGCCGUUCCAGCCAAUCAGUCCAAUAAGGAGGUUGUUCCUGGAUUGAGUGAAAAGUCUGAUGAAAGAAUUUUAAAGAAACCGAAGCUCUCUACUCUAGAUGAUGUUGGUAGUGGACGAUCCACGGAUCAAAAUUCAGAGGAGCUAAAGCUGUCUGAACCUGGUAAGGUGGUUGGCCUGGAGAUGGACUUAUCUGACAUCAAAGACAUGUACAAGGACGCGAAACUUCCACCAAAAUGGAAGGCCUUUAAGACAAUCAUUUUUUGUGAACGGGAUGACAACCUCCUUGAUUCAGAGAAAAUCGCAGCAUUCGAUUUUGAUGGCUGUCUUGCGAAUACAUCAGUGAAAAAAACUGGUCCAGAUGCCUGGUCUCUUAUGUACCCAUCAAUUCCUCAGAAGCUUCAAGA
rnacentral:misc_RNA from 1 species